CUUACGACGCCAGUUCCGCCCUUCAAAGCAAUGUUCAGAGAUCCUGUGACCUUGCGGCUCGCUACACUGAGCUGGAAAACAAGCACAUUCAGCUCGAGAUGGAUUUGAAGCUGGUUUAGGAGAAUCUGACGAAGGCAAAGGAGGAGACCAAAGGUAAGGUGAAGGAGGCCCAACAGAAAAAAGACCUUGAACUAGCUGAGAAGAUCAAGCU